UGGCGACCGGCGCACGGGUGCGUAACGCGUAUGCAACCUACCCAUAACAGGGGGAUAACACUGAGAAAUUGGUACUAAUACCCCAUAACAUCAGGGCCGGCAUCGGUUCUGGUUGAAAACUCCGGUGGUUAUGGAUGGGCAUGCGUUGUAUUAGCUGGUUGGUGAGGUAACGGCUCACCAAGGCAACGAUACAUAGGGGGACUGAGAGGUUAACCCCCCACAUUGGUACUGAGACACGGACCAA
rnacentral:rRNA from 1 species